rnacentral:rRNA from 1 species
GAUGAACGCUGGCGGCGUGCCUAAUACAUGCAAGUCGAGCGAACAGACGAGGGCUUGCUCCUCUGACGUUAGCGGCGGACGGGUGAGUAACACGUGGAUAACCUACCUAUAAGACUGGGAUAACUUCGGGAAACCGGAGCUAAUACCGGAUAAUAUAUUGAACCGCCUGGUUCAAUAGUGAAAGACGGUUUUGCUGUCACUUAUAGAUGGAUCCGCGCCGCAUUAGCUAGUUGGUAAGGUAACGGCUUACCAAGGCAACGAUGCGUAGCCGACCUGAGAGGGUGAUCGGCCACACUGGAACUGAGACACGGUCCAGACUCCUACGGGAGGCAGCAGUAGGGAAUCUUCCGCAAUGGGCGAAAGCCUGACGGAGCAACGCCGCGUGAGUGAUGAAGGUCUUCGGAUCGUAAAACUCUGUUAUUAGGGAAGAACAAAUGUGUAAGUAACUAUGCACGUCUUGACGGUACCUAAUCAGAAAGCCACGGCUAACUACGUG